rnacentral:rRNA from 1 species
GAUGAACGCUGGCGGCGUGCUUAACACAUGCAAGUCGAACGGUGAACGAGGGAGCUUGCUCCCUCCGGAUCAGUGGCGAACGGGUGAGUAACACGUGAGCAAUCUGCCCUGGACUCUGGGAUAAGCGUUGGAAACGACGUCUAAUACCGGAUACGAGGCGUGGGGGCAUCCCCAACGCCUGGAAAGAACUUCGGUCCAGGAUGAGCUCGCGGCCGAUCAGCUAGUUGGUGAGGUAAUGGCCCACCAAGGCGUCGACGGGUCGCCGGCCUGAGAGGGUGACCGGUCACACUGGGACUGAGACACGGCCCAGACUCCUACGGGAGGCAGCAGUGGGGAAUAUUGGACAAUGGGCGGAAGCCUGAUCCAGCAACGCCGCGUGAGGGAUGACGGCCUUCGGGUUGUAAACCUCUUUCAGUACCGACGAAGCGAAAGUGACGGUAGGUACAGAAGAAGGACCGGCCAACUACGUGCCAGCCGCCGCAGUAAUAC